rnacentral:lncRNA from 1 species
CGGACAAGAAAGGGUUUGCUGAGAGCAAUCCUAAGCUACACUAACAGUAGGAAUAAUUGCGGAAAAAUAAACCACAUAGAGAGCUGGAAAAUAAAUCAAGUAUGAGCACAUCUGCCACACAGGGCCAAGUAGUGCCACACAGGGCCUCCACGCCACACAGGGCCAACUCAAUGCCACACAGGGCUCCCAACCUCCACAGGAAUAAAC